CGCCGCAAAGCACCGCGGUGCCGCGCGCCUUCCCCGCCCCUGGCGCGCGGCCUAUUUAAUGGGACCGCGCGGAGGAAUCUCUCCUUCCACGCGCUCGGCGGCCUUGAGAGACAUCGCAGCCCAGCCGCGGGGCAGCAAGUGAAGAGAUGAGUUUGUUACUGGCUUUGGGAAUCGUCAAUCUGGGCUCUGCCAUGCUGUUACCUUGCAAGCAGAAAGAUGUCACGUGAAUCCUGGAGCUACAGAAGUGCUAUGACAUCAGAUGGCCGCCUCUGCUGUCCUUGAGCCCUGUGUGGGCACAUGCAACCCAUAGUAGACUCCCACACUUCUAGAAGUGGAUGGUGUUUAGGAAGCUUGAAAACAGCCUGAAAUGUGGAAUGCUAAUACACUUGGAAAUGCUUUCAUGGCCCUUCCUGCUCCUCAGAAAUACUGCUUGAUUCAAGAGUGAGGCAGUGGAAUAUCUGUUCGCUGAAAAUGUGUGAAUAAACCUCGAAUGAAGUACAGGGAGGGAAAUCUGUCAUUAAUUGAACCUGGACCAGUGUUUGAGCAGCAAUGCCUCACAUCAGACAGCACAGGAGAGGGAGGCUUGGUGCUGGCCUGCGGCCUGAUUACAUACAGUGCUGAGACUCUGCAGGAAAGUUGACUAAAUGACUUUCCUUAUAUUGGUCUUCAACAGUGUAAAUUCUGGACUUUGAUUGGAAAUUAACUAUUAUUGCCAUCAAUUAAUAUAAACUUUUUUCAAACUGCCAGAAUAUGAAAACAAUGUACCCAAGACAAGACUGAGUUACAUUAAUUACCGUGUUUUAGGGUAAGAGAUGAUUCAAGUAACAAGAUGGCAAUCAACGCAUCUUCCUCAAGUACUUUCUUUCUUAAACUUAGUUUAGUAUGAGCCUUGGAUAGUGAAAUCCUAGGGGAUGAAUACAAGCAUGUCAGAAAUAAAAAGUACUGUAGACAAAUGCUGUACGCCUUGCCCUGUUUCAAGCACUUCUGUAAAUCAAAAGUUAACACUGUAGUGGUUUUUUUUUUUUCCAUACUUCAGCUGUGUAAACUUCCCACAACUACUGUGCAGUUACACUUGUCCCUGACAAAGUAUGUAUCACUAUGCGUGACUUUUUUUGUGCUAUGAAAGCAGUGGAACUUGGCACAUUGUCUACUAUUAUUACUUUUUUUGCUUGCAUAAUAUAAAGCUGUGAGAAUUUAAAUCCUAUUUUUGUUUUUCUAGAUAGCUUGAACAGUGAUCAUUGUUUCUGAAUCACUGGGUUUUUGCCUGGCAAAGUUCUUUAAGCUUUUUUUUCAACAUCAAUAUAUAAAAUGUUAUUCAUAAAUAGAUUCUUUACGCUUGAACUCUUCAAAACUGAAGGGUCUUGUCUAGAUUUUUGUUUAACAAGCUCUUGAGCAGCUUAGCACAAUUUCUAUUUGAAACAUAGAUGUGUUUCCUUCACUACAAAAAGUAGGACAUACAGAAUUUUUAGUGCAGAUGCUGAUACUGUUGAUCCAUGAACAGAAUCUCUUCUCACUCUGCGACUUGCAAGGUAGUAGCCCUGAAUGAGGUUUUCUGCUUCUGAACUCAGUUCAACAUGAAGAUUCUUAGCAAACGAAAUAAACUAGAGAGAGUAUGCAUUUAAAUAUUUAACUGGAAAAGAAAGAAUUUACUUUUUUCCCACCUUUCAACAUAGAAGUGAUGUAGUAAUAUAGCUUGGACAAUAUAUUCUACCAAUAGUUUUUAUAAAGAUGGCUGUUACCAUUCAGCUGUGCAUAGGAUAUAUGGCAGAUACUGAACAGAAUAAUCUGUUAAUUAUACUAGAAAUAUUGGUGGUUUAUUUAGAAUGGAAUAUUAAAUCCAUAAACUAUGGAGCCUGUAAACUAUUCUGUCAAAACUAGGUAUGAGAUCUGUUGUUAACCUAGUACGUUUUUCAGAAACAAGAUCAAACUGAAUGUAUCAUGCUGACCCUUUUAAAGAACUGAAGCUAAUUUUAUCAGUGAUUCUGUUAGUGCUAGCAGGAACGUGGGGCAGGGGGGAAGGAUAGAAAGUGAAUAUUGACAGGUUUAAAAAUAAGCCAUCAGAAUGUGCAGAGUCAUCAGAAUUCCAGAGACAGUGUGAUAUUCCCAAGUAUGAUGUGUUUCUAAGUCAUUGGGUAGUAUCUGUUACCUCCUCAUAAUCCUGCAUUUUGAACUGCUGCGAGACUCUGUACAGCAUGGCGUCAGGAUUAAUGGCUUUUUUCAAGACGUGAGGUAUGAGAGAAGAUAGUCGACAUGAAGGAAACUCGUCGUAUAUCAAAAGCCCAAAAACAUCUAGAAGGUUAGGUGGAAUCAAACUCACAUCCUAAAGAGAAGACCCAGUGAAGGAAAACAAUUACUUUAUUUUGGCCUUUUGACUUGUAGAAACAUCACAGGUUUUUCUCAGUCUAGAUGUUCAAUGCCCAUAUAUACGGAGUCCUGCAAGAUUGUCUAAUGAAUUACCUAUAAUGUAUACAGUAAAAUUUUGUUUCAAUAGUAGAUGCCUACUUUUGGGAAAGCUAGCUCAUUUUAGAAGAUACUUGAUGUAAAGUCACUUAAGUCGUGACUUCUUGGGAAAUACGAACACAUUUGAUUGUUUUCAUUAUUUCACAACUUGAAAUAACAGUAACCACAAACAACUUCUCGAGUACAGUUCCUGUCAUGCUUUACCAUCUGUCCAAUUAAGAAGUUAUCCUUUUGUAUAUGUUUCUUUGAGGAAGAAUCUAUAUCUACAAAAGACCAAAAAUUGGUCUGAACUGAAAUGGUAACUUGCUGGUCAGCCUCUUCUCCAUACUUCUUCCCAGGAAUGAAUACUGUUGUCAUUCUGCUCUCCAGCACUGGGACAGGACAGGACAGGACAAAACACAUCAGUUAUGGAAUUUAUCUAGUUUAACUAUAAAUUCUAGUCCCACACGCUAUCUGAAACCAGUCAUGAUUAUGUAUUCCACUGAAUUGUCAUGAUCAAUGGAUCGCUGUAGCGUAGCAAAUACAAGCUUAGAGAACCUUGGCUUUUUUGCCCUUGUUUGUUACACAGACUGGUCAAAAACAGCCUAUAGAUGUUCCCCAUCAUUUGAGGGCCACAAGCUGGGGAACAAACCUAGCAAUGAAUUUGCAUGUCUGUUUUGUUCUGUUCCCUCAUUUAUUAGUAGGUGUGAGAUUACCGGACUGUAGAAGUUCAAGUUUAUCCUUUUUAUAUGAAGAUAAGUCUGCUAUGUAACAGAUACCACCCUUAGCCAGCACAGCACUGCACGCGUGAAUACUGGCACUUCCAGUUCCGUGUUUAUCUUUGGAGACGGAAGGAAAAAUUUCACUAGAAGAUGACCAGUAUGAAACGUCACUUAAUUCUUCAAAAAGAGAUUUAGCUACCUGGUGAAGGACAAGACAUAGAAUUAUUGGGCUCAUGCAGAAGCGCAGCUCACAGCACACGAAAGAUGCCUUGUAGGAGCUCACUGAACUGGCUCUGGGAGGACAAACAGGUCAACAUCUGAGAGAAGAGCAACUGGAUGCCAGUGCAACACGUGUGCGGCAGCAGUGUAAACCCUCUGAGAGUUGCACACUGUGGGCUGUGUCUUUAGGAUUAUUCCUACACGAUUACUGCUCCAUCCCUUAAAACCUUCAGCAGGAAGGGAUUAAACACACACAGAUCCACCGUUAUCUCCCUGGACCCUGGGCUCCCCAGGGUAGGAGAGCACCAAACACGACUAGGAAGGAGCCGAAAGACCAGAGAGAACAAGGGCAGCACUGCUCCUUUGCUUCUACAGCACCACCAGAGAAAGCCUAACAGGAACAUAAACUCC